rnacentral:lncRNA from 1 species
AUCUCUUGCGAUUGUAUACACUAGUCAGAAUACCAUGAAUGCGUUAAGAAUUAUUUUUAUCAACAGGAUGUUGUAACAUGCAAGCAUGCUUAUAUUAUACUAAGUGAAUAAAAGUACAGAAGACAAUAUAUAUAUACACAAACAUAUCAGAUACAGAAUACAAUAUACAUUUUGAAUGUAUAUUCAGUAUAGGCACAGUUAGCUUAAAGACACAAUGAAAGUUUGGAGAGGUAUAGAAUAACAGAGUGCUUUUCUUUAGUAAACAUUUCUCAGGCUACUUUUCUGCUUUCAGUUUCUCUCUAUUUUUUUUCUAAAAUAAGCCUAUUAAUUUCCUCUUACUAAUUAAAGGGAAAUUUUACAAAAGUUUUAAAAAUAAAUUAUAAUUUAAAAUUGAAAGAAAAAAUUAAAUAAAAAUAGCCCUAUGUAAUUUUUUUGCUUUUCUUGAAUGUGUCUUUUGACAAUUUAUCAUCACUUACCAUAGCCUUCCUGGGGAGAUAUUGUUUUUGUUCGAAGACCCCAUGCUUACUGACAAUUGAAAGCUGAAGAAUAUAUAACAAAGGCUUACUUAAGCCUGAUUAUGAGUCAGUGUUUUGAGGAUGCUGGUGAUACACAUUAAUUUUACACUUAAUUUGUUUUCUGUUCCCUCAUAUAGAUGGCAUUCUAUCCUAGGAGGAGUGUCCUGAUGGUUUAAUUCGUCUUCCAUUGUCAUGCUUGACAGGAUUCAUCAGUAAAUGGAGACAUAUUGCUGCAACUCAGGGUGUGCCCAUUGUGCCAUGAGGAUGGAGGGAAAGUGCUGAAAGCAGACGGGGGCCAGCUUACCACAAGAGAAACUGAAGGUAGGAGAAUUUUUGUGAAUAUUUUAUUAAGUGUUUUCAUUCGCUGUGUGUGUUUGAUUUAAUUUUUACUUUUAAGACAGGUAUCAUUUCCUGUUUUGGCUAAAAGUACAUUGUUUCAUCCACAUUACAGUUCAAACAGGCUUUUGCUGAAAUAAAAUUCCCAUGGUGGGAAUUUAACCACCAUGGUAAUAUUAUUACUAGGGGAAAUAUGUUACAAAUUCUAACUAAAACAAUCUCAAAUUGACGUUUGAAUCACAACCAAUUGGUAAAUCGGAUUUCUUGUUAAUCUGUAUGAGUGAAUACAAAAAGAUGAAAUAAUUCUUAGGUAUAUUAAACUUGAUUUUGCUUUGCAAGAUCAUUUGCAAAACAUUCUUUUCUGAUUAUUGAG